UGUUGUCUUGUCUUUGGUAUGAGCAAUGAACAAGUAGGGAAAUUAAUAAAAUUAAAGUAAUGAAAUGAAACGAGCACAGACUGAUAACUGAAUUUGGCAAUGUGUAAGAAACGGGGAGGAAGGCAUCUUCUUUCAUUUUGUGUUGUUUAAUUUCCUAUAAGUACAGUUUGAUGUAUUUUAUUUAAUGUAUAACACGGCCGAUAUAUGUCCGCGAGAGGUGUAAGAGUAAUGUUUGGGUGAUGGAGUCACCGCCUUCGUUUUCAACACAUUCCGAGGUGCCUCCUUUAAGUGAAGAUAGUGGUCUACUCAUCACCAGCGGAUCCUUCUCGAGCGAUUCCGCUAGCGGCUGGCAUCACGUUACAUCCGAGUUACAAGAAAGUGACUUUGAUGAGAAAUCUCUGUCACUAUGCGAGUCGGCGGAAACAUCGGAGCGAAUGUGUGGCGAUUUUUUUAACACUGUCAAAAAAGGCCCUGGAAAAGUCUUACUAACGACUAUUGAUCCACCUCCUGAAUUUCAGGAUAACCCAGUGCCUCUUAAUAUAGUGGAAGUCGCAACUUUAUUUGUACCUCCAACAGUUGUGUACAAUAAUGACUCUGUAAAAUCAAAAUCAUCGGUUCUUGAAAUUCCUAUGACAACGAGACAUUUGUCUCCAUUAUACGCGAAGAAAUUGAAACCGGAAUCUUUGUACGAGCGGCGGCAGUGCCUGAACCACCGGUUCGCGAGUCCGCGGCUGCUGCACCUGAGCCCGUGCCGCGGCACGCGCCCCUCCUCGCGGAACUCGCUCACCUCCCGCCUCUCCAGCAGCCACAACUCCCUCGUCACCCAGUUCCAGGACGACUCCAGCUUCAUCACCCAAGCCAUCUCGCACGACACGCUCUCCGCCAACACCUCCGACAUCACUGACAUGUACAAUGUGCCCUUCGACAGCGACAUAUACGCUGUCCCCGUCGACAUGGUCCGCCCCGGUCAAAGCAACAUGAGAAAAGGCAAAAAACCACCCAGGACCAACAAGAAACGCGGGAAAACCGCAUCUCAAAAUUUGACAACGAAUCACGUGCAGACCGACAGAAAUCACAAGCCAAAGGAAACGGCGAACCGACACAAAGAUUCCAAAAAUAAAAGGCACAGCUUGCCAAGUUCGUCUUGUAGGAAGAACGUAUCUGACUCAGAGGCGGACUCGCUCCACCUGACGUUGCGCGAAAUGCGUAAAUAUUUGCACACUCUGUACUCUAGCUCGAGCGACUCCGAGUGCCGUAACACGUUGAACAAGAAGAAUAACAUAACGAACGUGGAGAUACACGUGCGGCCAUCGAAAGACGCCAAGACGAAUAAGGACAACGAGAUAUGCAGUGCGUUAGAAACGAAUAACAAUCAUAAAAAGCCUCAUAAAAACUCUUUUGGUAUGAAUAUUAAGAACAAGAAGCAUAAAGAGGUUCCUAAGGACGAUACGGCCGAUAAGAGUGUUAAGACGCCGCGUCAGAGUCAAAAGAAGAUGUCGCCGGUGCGGAUUUUGUCGUUGAACUUGAAGCAGAGUUUUUGUAAUCUGUUUCGGUGGCGGCGGGCGGGGGGGUUGGAGCGGGAGCGGGGGGAGGAGGUGGUGGUCGAGCCGCCGGCGGCGGUGCGGCGCGCGCUGCCGCCGCUGCCGUCCGCGCCGCACUCCUCACGCCGAGAGGGAGACGACGCCGUCAUGGACUUCGCUACCUCCAUACAGAGGGUCAAAGACUAUGGCUGGUAUUGGGGUCCUAUAUCGGUUGAGGCGGCCGAGAAGAUCCUCUCGAACGAACCGGACGGCUCGUUCAUAGUGCGCGACAGUAGCGACGACCAUUACAUAUUCACAUUAACUUUUAAGCUAAAUGGAAUGAGACAUGUAAGGAUUGAACAUGAUCAGGGUAAUUUCUGUUUCGGCGGAUGCACGAUGUUCAAAGCGCAGACAAUAGUGGAGUUCAUAGAGAAUGCGGUGGAGACGUCGCGCAGCGGACGCUACCUGUUCUUCCUUAACCUGCGGCCGGUGCUCGGACCCGUGCGCGUGCAGCUGCUCUACCCCGUCUCGCGGUUCAAGCGCGUGCAGAGCCUGCAGCACAUGUGCAGGUGUGUGUCUACGAUAUACAGCCCAGACAAUAGUGGAGUUCAUAGAGAACGCGGUGGAGACGUCGCGCAGCGGACGCUACCUGUUCUUCCUGAACCUGCGGCCGGUGCUCGGGCCCGUGCGCGUGCAGCUGCUCUACCCCGUCUCGCGGUUCAAGCGCGUGCAGAGCUUGCAGCACAUGCGCAGGUGUGUGUCUACGAUAUACAGCCCAGACAAUAGUGGAGUUCAUAGAGAACGCGGUGGAGACGUCGCGCAGCGGACGCUACCUGUUCUUCCUGAACCUGCGGCCGGUGCUCGGGCCCGUGCGCGUGCAGCUGCUCUACCCCGUCUCGCGGUUCAAGCGCGUGCAGAGCCUGCAGCACAUGUGCAGGUUUGUGAUAUUAAAAUACGUAAGACGGGACCUGAUAAGCAGCCUUCCGCUGCCGAGACGUCUCCUGGACUACCUGAACGCCACGCACUACUACUCAGAACUCCUUGCCGAAAUAUAGGACCUGUUUGUUGGUUGGUUG